UGUUGCUGUGCAUCAGGCCCAGCUCAGUUACGCUCUCCUGGGGUUACAGUCACAACAGACAGCAAAAUUUGGACCAGCAUUCGGUGAAGAAGUUUGAUCGGGAAAUGAGCCGACGUGUCUUCCCAGCUCUUCCCACAGAUACAGGGUACUCGUGGGUCCCUUUUGUCCAGAGUGCAUCACACAAGGUAUCGCCCGGGUGAACUCGAACUUUCGACAGGUGCUCCGAAAGGACAAGGCUCCUCCUCGGAAGAAAUCCCUCAAAACGGAAAUGUCUUAAUACUGACUCUGGAAGUUUUUGCCCGUGCGCCGCGAUAAAAAUCCAAUGAUCCGAUGGACAUUUGACAACGCAGUUCCAACAUAAGGUGUUGCUGGCCGCCAUCCCGGGCCCGGCCUGCUCCCCGCCGCAAGAGGCCCCACCACGAGCAGGGAGGGAAAACCCAGCAGCCGCCGCCGCCGCCACCACCGCCUUCUCUCCCCCUGCAAGGCUCCUGCUCCGACUCCAAAAAUUCCUCCCAAACUGUUUUUUUU
rnacentral:lncRNA from 1 species